GUGUAGAGUGAUGUGUACUGGAGUGACAGGCAUACGGGAGCGAUCUGCCGUGCUGAUAAACACAACGGAAAACAGCUUAAAUGUUCUGUAGUGAGUUCCCCGGCAGGAUUGCUCAUCUACCACCCGCUCCUGCAGCCGACAGCACAAUUUAAGGAGCACCGAAUCCCUGGGCUCUUCAAAUCACACACCUGUCUGGACUCCUCUCUGGAGAGCAGAGAUUAUGGUCUACUCAAAGUCAUACUGCCCCCUGCUGCUCAUCUAAAUGUACUGAAAAUGCCAUCUAAGCAGAAAAUUCCACCAUGGCUCCCUGUCUUUCAUAAAUGG